GAUGAACGCUGGCGGCGUGCCUAAUACAUGCCAGUCGAGCGAACGGACGAGAAGCUUGCUUCUCUGAUGUUAGCGGCGGACGGGUGAGUAACACGUGGAUAACCUACCUAUAAGACUGGGAUAACUUCGGGAAACCGGAGCUAAUACCGGAUGAUAUUUUGAACCGCAUGGUUCAAAAGUGAAAGAUGGUCUUGCUGUCACUUAUAGAUGGAUCCGCGCUGCAUUAGCUAGUUGGUAAGGUAACGGCUUACCAAGGCAACGAUGCAUAGCCGACCUGAGAGGGUGAUCGGCCACACUGGAACUGAGACACGGUCCAGACUCCUACGGGAGGCAGCAGAAGGGAAUCUUCCGCAAUGGGCGAAAGCCUGACGGAGCAACGCCGCGUGAGUGAUGAAGGUCUUCGGAUCGUAAAACUCUGUUAUUAGGGAAGAACAGAUGUGUAAGUAACUGUGCACAUCUUGACGGUACCUAAUCAGAAAGCCACGGCUAACUACGUG
rnacentral:rRNA from 1 species